rnacentral:rRNA from 1 species
UCAGGAUGAACGCUAGCUACAGGCUUAACACAUGCAAGUCGAGGGGCAGCAUUUUAGUUUGCUUGCAAACUGAAGAUGGCGACCGGCGCACGGGUGAGUAACACGUAUCCAACCUGCCGAUAACUCCGGAAUAGCCUUUCGAAAGAAAGAUUAAUACCGGAUAGCAUACGAAUAUCGCAUGAUAUUUUUAUUAAAGAAUUUCGGUUAUCGAUGGGGAUGCGUUCCAUUAGUUUGUUGGCGGGGUAACGGCCCACCAAGACAACGAUGGAUAGGGGUUCUGAGAGGAAGGUCCCCCACAUUGGAACUGAGACACGGUCCAAACUCCUACGGGAGGCAGCAGUGAGGAAUAUUGGUCAAUGGGCGAGAGCCUGAACCAGCCAAGUAGCGUGAAGGAUGAAGGCUCUAUGGGUCGUAAACUUCUUUUAUAUGGGAAUAAAGUUUUCCACGUGUGGAAUUUUGUAUGUACCAUAUGAAUAAGGAUCGGCUAACUCCGUGCCAGCAGCCGCGGUAAUACGGAGGAUCCGAGCGUUAUCCGGAUUUAUUGGGUUUAAAGGGAGCGUAGGUGGAUUGUUAAGUCAGUUGUGAAAGUUUGCGGCUCAACCGUAAAUUGCAGUUGAAACUGGCGGUCUUGAGUACAGUAGAGGUGGGCGGAAUUCGUGGUGUAGCGGUGAAAUGCUUAGAUAUCACGAAGAACUCCGAUUGCGAAGGCAGCUCACUAGACUGUCACUGACACUGAUGCUCGAAAGUGUGGGUAUCAAACAGGAUUAGAUACCCUGGUAGUCCACACAGUAAACGAUGAAUACUCGCUGUUUGCGAUAUACAGUAAGCGGCCAAGCGAAAGCAUUAAGUAUUCCACCUGGGGAGUACGCCGGCAACGGUGAAACUCAAAGGAAUUGACGGGGGCCCGCACAAGCGGAGGAACAUGUGGUUUAAUUCGAUGAUACGCGAGGAACCUUACCCGGGCUUAAAUUGCAACAGAAUAUAUUGGAAACAGUAUAGCCGUAAGGCUGUUGUGAAGGUGCUGCAUGGUUGUCGUCAGCUCGUGCCGUGAGGUGUCGGCUUAAGUGCCAUAACGAGCGCAACCCUUAUCUUUAGUUACUAACAGGUGAUGCUGAGGACUCUAGAGAGACUGCCGUCGUAAGAUGUGAGGAAGGUGGGGAUGACGUCAAAUCAGCACGGCCCUUACGUCCGGGGCUACACACGUGUUACAAUGGGGGGUACAGAAGGCGGCUACCUGGUGACAGGAUGCUAAUCCCAAAAACCUCUCUCAGUUCGGAUCGAAGUCUGCAACCCGACUUCGUGAAGCUGGAUUCGCUAGUAAUCGCGCAUCAGCCAUGGCGCGGUGAAUACGUUCCCGGGCCUUGUACACACCGCCCGUCAAGCCAUGAAAGCCGGGGGUACCUGAAGUACGUAACCGCAAGGAGCGUCCUAGGGUAAAACUGGUAAU